UACGGAAGGCAGCAGUGGGGAAUAUUGCACAAUGGGCGCAAGCCUGAUGCAGCCAUGCCGCGUGUAUGAAGAAGGCCUUCGGGUUGUAAAGUACUUUCAGUCGUGAGGAAGGUGUUAAGGUUAAUAACCUUAGCAAUUGACGUUAGCGACAGAAGAAGCACCGGCUAACUCCGUGCCAGCAGCCGCGGUAAUACGGAGGGUGCGAGCGUUAAUCGGAAUUACUGGGCGUAAAGGGCACGCAGGCGGUUAAUUAAGUUGGAUGUGAAAUCCCCGGGCUUAACCUGGGAAUGGCAUUCAAGACUGGUUAGCUAGAGUCUUGUAGAGGGGGUUAGAAUUCCAUGUGUAGCGGUGAAAUGCGUAGAGAUGUGGAGGAAUACCGGUGGCGAAGGCGGCCCCUGGACAAAGACUGACGCUCAUGUGCGAAAGCUGGGGAGCAAACAGGGAUUAGAUACC
rnacentral:rRNA from 1 species